GGAUGGACUUGACGACAAAAUUCACUUGCACAUUUUGCUUCGGAUCACCGUCCACGACACCGUAUAUUGUGCCUUUGUUAACAGUCGACAAAGGAUGUCCGUCAGUGUUUCGUCUGUGAACUUGUCACUUACUUCACUCAGUUUGACACGAUUUUUAUCUUGACUCAUGAUUCCACCUGCAGAUUUUAUGCAAUCUUGAUGAAAAGUGCUAAUAAUAAUCAUCAUUUUCUAAACAAUAAUAGUUCCUUAAAUACUGUUAUAUAUAAAUCUCAAUUACCUCUUAAUAAACAAAACACACACGUAUUCCACGAACAAUUUAUCCAGUUAGAUUGAAAUGAUAAUGAAACUGUAGG